GCAGAAUGCUAGAGAUACUAGCAUACAGAAAAUUUUAAUCCCUCAAGGAAAUACAUAGAAAACUAUAACAAAGGAGAUUAGAAGAACCGAAAAGUGAGAGGUGAAUCUAAGUGCUGGACAACUCUUUUUUUUUUUGUUUUAAAUUUUUAAUUUUUUUUUCUUUAGUUGCAGAGGGAAGAUCUACGGAGGAGGUGAAAACUGAGUGCGUUCUUGAGGGGUGACCAAGAACUUUGUGAGGAGAAGGAAAGGGAGACUAGAGGCAGAGGGAACAUGAGAGCAGGGACAGGGAUACAAUGGGCAGAUCUGUCUGCAAAAGGUGAGUGGAGGAAGGAGCGGCAGGCUUAUUUGAGGGGAGAUGGAGCCUAAGUUGGAAAGGUGGCAGGAGCUUCAUUGUGAAGGUCUUUAAAUGGUGCUUGGAUUUCACUGAGUGAGUCACUGGCUGCCCUGGCAGGAUCUUAAUCAGGAGAGUGCUGAUGAUGGAUAUUUUGAGUUAGGAAGCUAAACAAGGAGACUUUUUACAUUGGCCCAGGUAAAACAGUCUUCCAUAUAUCAUACAUCAAUUGUGUGUGUGUGUGUGUGUGUGUGCGUGUGCGUGCGCAUGUGUGUGUUUUCUCUCUCUCUUUUCCUAAGUAGUAUACUAAAAUAAAAGAUAUUUCUUUUCCAGGGGUUCAAUGCAUUUGCCCCACAAACAACUCAGGUGGUUCCAAUGAAUGAAGUCCAGCAGAAGGGAUGGAAGAGUGUCAUCUUUACUUGGAAUUGUGGGACAUUUUUGAAAGGCAAGUAGGGAAGAAGAGAGAGGAAGUUACGUGUAUCAGACUUUGCCUAUUUCUCCAAGAAGACAGAUCCUUUUCUUUUCUUUUUUUUUUUUUUCUGCAGGUCUCUUUAGAUCUAAUUAAGCAGUAAAAAUAUUCUAAUUGAGUUGUGGGGCUGUAGUUCAGUGGCAGAGCGCUUGCCUAGCAUGCGUGAGGCACUGGGUUCAAUCCUCAGCACCACAUAAAAAUAAACAAAUAAAAUAAAGGCAUUUUGUCCAUCUACAACUACAAAAAAAAAUUCUAAUUGAGUUGCGCUGGACUGAAGAUUGAGCUUUAUCUUGGUACAAUUAUAUAAUCUAUGCUUCCAAAUUUAUCAUUUCUUCCUCCAAGAAGAUGAAGCAUGUAAAAGAUUCUCAGACGUGGAUAGAACCGAUGCUGUUGUUAUCAAAGGGGAGUAAGAGAUGUGUUAUUCUACAUGUGUAUGAUGCCCAGUCCAUUAAAACAUCCCACUCCUGCCCAGGAGGACCAGAAGGGAAGGCAGAAGGACCAACAGACUGAUUAAUAGGCAAGUUUUAUUGCAAACUCUUAAGACUAUAGUGACUGCUGCUUUUUUUGAACAUGGGCUUUUGCUCAGGUCACUGGUGGAGCUGCAGACCUGAGACUGGAGGUGGUGACAGUGGAGGUUUAACUGUGCUAAGAGGGACCAUGUCAUCAGAAGAGUGAUGGCGCAGAGAAAGGCAUGCAUCCUCUCGUUCCCAUUCAUCCUUUCCCCACGUCCUCC
rnacentral:lncRNA from 1 species